rnacentral:tRNA from 1 species
GCGCACUUAGCUCAAAUUGUAAGAGCAUCACUCUUCAAGGUUGAGGUUGUGGGUUUGAUUCCCACAGUGCACA